AGCCAGACUCCUACGGGAGGCAGCAGUGGGGAAUCUUCCGCAAUGGGCGAAAGCCUGACGGAGCAACGCCGCGUGAUCGAAUGAAGGCCUUCGGGUUGUAAAGAUCUGUUGACAGGGACGAAUAAGCAAUGCGAAUAGUUUUGUGUAUGACGGUACCUGUUUAGAAAGCUCCGGCUAACUACGUGCCAGCAGCCGCGGUAAUACGUAGGGAGCAAGCGUUGUCCGGAAUUACUGGGCGUAAAGGGCGCGUAGGUGGGCGCUUAAGUCAGGUGUGAAAGCCCGCGGCCCAACCGCGGGACUGCACUGGGAACUGGCGCGCUGGAGUGCCGGAGGGGUAGGCGGAAUUCCUAGUGUAGCGGUGAAAUGCGUAGAUAUUAGGAGGAACACCAGUGGCGAAGGCGGCCUACUGGACGGUGACUGACGCUGAGGCUCGAAAGCGUGGGGAGCAAACAGGAUUAGAUACCCGUGUAAG
rnacentral:rRNA from 1 species